rnacentral:rRNA from 1 species
GAUGAACGCUGGCGGCGUGCCUAAUACAUGCAAGUCGAGCGAACAGACGGGGAGCUUGCUCCUCUGACGUUAGCGGCGGACGGGUGAGUAACACGUGGAUAACCUACCUAUAAGACUGGGAUAACUUCGGGAAACCGGAGCUAAUACCGGAUAAUAUAUUGAACCGCAUGGUUCAAUAGUGAAAGACGGUUUUGCUGUCACUUAUAGAUGGAUCCGCGCCGCAUUAGCUAGUUGGUAAGGUAACGGCUACCAAGGCAACGAUGCGUAGCCGACCUGAGAGGGUGAUCGGCCACACUGGAACUGAGACACGGUCCAGACUCCUACGGGAGGCAGCAGUAGGGAAUCUUCCGCAAUGGGCGAAAGCCUGACGGAGCAACGCCGCGUGAGUGAUGAAGGUCUUCGGAUCGUAAAACUCUGUUAUUAGGGAAGAACAAAUGUGUAAGUAACUAUGCACGUCUUGACGGUACCUAAUCAGAAAGCCACGGCUAACUACGUG